UUCUGACAAUUACUGGAGAUGAUUUGACGCCAAAGUUUACAUCAUUUGAUUCUGUGCCACAUCCGAAUGUGAAACCUAUGGCCUAUGCAAACAGUUUGUUUGGUAUGUUUUAGUCAGCAGGAGUUUGACUCUAAGCCUGUGAAAUGAACACUGUAUAACCACGAUGUGACAGAGAAAUCACGGAGACCGCUAAUGGAAGGAAACGCCAAUCACCAAACUCAUGCAAACCCUGGAUACCAGAACUCAAUAUCAUCCUAUAUACAUGUAAUCUGAUUAUGUGACUGUCUUUGUUGUAUGUACUGAGGGUACAUAGUGAUGUGUACGCCUGAAGUAGCACCGCUGUAGUUCAGUGGUUGUUAUAUCGCGGUGGUGUCACUACCCGCUUGGUGUGUACCGGUCUAAAAUGUAGACCUGUGUCUUGGACUUGAAUAUAGAUGCUACUAUGUCAGUACUGUUUGUGGCAGCUGAUGUUUUUAUUGUCAGGAACUGCAAGUUUUAAUAAACUAUAAACAUUGAUCUUUUUUCUUUAAUAGAAUAGUAUUAUAUGCCAUCAUGGAUGACAAUGCAUUUGUGAAUAAAGAGAUCAGUGUGAAUCA